GAAAGUGAUGAUGUGACCGCAGAAUCAGAUAAGAAUAAAAGAAUCGAUGAUAAUGCAAUGGCAGAAUCAGAUGAGAAGCAAAGAGUCGGUGAAAAUGUGAUGGCAGAAUCAGAUGAGAAGCAAACAGUAGGUGAUGACGCAAUGGCAGAAUCAGACGAGGAGCAAACAGUGGGGAUGGCAGAAUCAGAUGAGAAGCAAACAGUCAGUUAUAACCUGAUGUCAGAGUCGGAUGAGAAGCAAAGAACCGAUGAUAACGGGAUGACAGAAUCAUAUGAAAAGCAAACAGCAGGUGGUAAUGUGAUGGCAGAAUCAG
rnacentral:lncRNA from 1 species